AUGGUGCGCGCGUCUCGGGCUCCGGGCCGGGCAGCUGAGGGGCGGCGGGCGCGCUCCCGACACAGCCGACGCCUGCCGAGCGCGCAGUGGCGAGAACCUAGCUCUCCUGGUCGCGCACCCCGGACGGACUGGGCGGACAGACUCCACGGUGCGCGGGUUCCACGAGUUCGAGUCUCUCCUCUGCAGGCCCACGAACCUGAACAGAACGCGAGCCGGGGCCGCGGGCGCGCCGGCCUCCUUUCAGUGCGCCCGCCUCGCCUCCAGACGUGCCGUCUCGCCAGCUGCCUCAGCAGCGCUCGGACUCAGCGGGACUCUGCCCCGACUCGGUGCCGGAGCUUCUGUCCUUUGCGCUCCGCCCCCUAGGGACAAGACCUCCCCAGAGCGCUUUCCGAAACAGACACAGCGCUGCUCACACACACACACACACACACACACACACACAAUGCCCCGCGCGGUGCCCGCUCGCCCGCCCACCCGCCCUCGGUUUCGAUGCGCCCGGAGCGAUCCUCCUUCCCUCUCCUCGGGGGAGGGUGGGUCACUUCGCGGCGCUCGGUGA